rnacentral:lncRNA from 1 species
GAAAACUGGGUUUUAUAAAAUGGCAACAAGGAAACAGAAUAGGAAAAAAAACUGGUUAACUUUUUUCGUUACUUUUUUUUUGUAAGGGUUAAAGCAGAGAGCAGCUCCUCGUUACAUGGACUCAGAUAGACUGGAAUCUCCUGUUUUCAGGAAAAACUGGUCUGGUUUGGGAUCUAUCUGCCUCCUUAAAGCUUCAUUUGACUUUGUGGCAUUUAGCAUUAGUGACUUCACUUUGGUUUUGUCUGGUUUGUUGGGACCUAGUGCCAGAGCUCAGGCUGAAACAAUGUCUUCCAUAAAUUUUUUUUUUUUAACAAUUCCAACACCCCAAACAGUGUUGGGAGAAAAUUCCACAGUCCUGCAGAUUGGCUUCAUUUGACAUUGACAAACAAUCCUUGUUUUAUUAUUGUGUUUGAUUAUUUAUUUAUUUUUAGAGAUCGAGUUUCGCUCUGUCACCCAAGCUGGACUGCAAUAGCACGAUUUUAGCUCACUGCAGCCUCAAACUCCUGGGCUCAAGCAAUCCUCCUGUCUCAGCCUCCUGAGUAGCCAGGACUACAGGCAUAUACCAUCACACCUGGCUAAUUUUUAAAUUUUUUGUAGAUAUGGGGUCUUGCCAUGUUACCCAGGUUGGUCUCGAACUCCUCGCCUCAAGUGAUCCUCCUGCCUUGGCCUCCCAAAAUGCUGAGAUUACAGACAUGAGCCACUGCACACAGCCAAAGCACUGCAUGGUCGAUGAGAAAGAUCUCGCCCUUGGACCUCAGGCUUGCAUACUCUACUGUCCACUCAACACCUGCGACUGAAUGUGUAAUCUGCGUCUCAAAACCAGCCUGCCCCAAAUUGCCCGCUCCACCCCCAGCCACCUGCUCCUCCCCAUGCAAACUCGUCUCUGCUGAUGCAACGCCAUCCUUCCAGUUGCCCUGACCAAAAUCUCCAUCUUCCAAACCCCUGUCUUUCCCUUACAUCCCACAUCUGCUGUAAAAGCAACUCCUGCUGACUCACCCUUCAAAAAUCUAGCCAGAAUCCAACCGUUUCUCACCACCCCGCCACCAUCAGCCUUGUUCUCCCACCCUGGGCAACGGCAGCAGCCUCCUUCCUGGUCUCACCUGGUCUCCCUGCCUCCACCCUUCCACUCAAGUUUCAACUCAGCAGCUAGAAUGCUUGGUGAAAACAUAAAUCUGAGCAUGUCUCUUUCUCUGCCCUGUCACUCAGCAUAAAGGCCCAAGUUAUUAUAGUGGCCAACAGCCUGGGCCCCUUUCCUCCUCUGGCCUCCUCUUCAACCACCUCCCCCUGCUCCCCGGGGUUCCUCUUCCUCCUCCCAGUUUUUCCCUGACAUGCCCUGCCCUCAGAUGCCCACACGGCUCGCCCCUCACUUGUUUCAUUUUUCACUCAAAUGCCACUUCCCUGCAAGGCCUCAGCUGUCCCCCAUUUAGAGUUCUGCACCCCCUUUUCCCCACUCAUUUGUCUUCCAUGGCACUACUGCCAUGAGCACAUGAUGUACUUUGUUUGAUUUCUUUGUUUGAUUUCUUCUCCGUACCAGGGAUUUUUGUCUGUUUUCUUUGUUCCUGUAUCCCCCAGCACCUGGAACAAUGCUUGCCGUAUAGUAGGUGCCUAGUAAAUAUUUAUUCAAUCAAUCCAGCAAGCAGCAUAAGAAUCUCUGCAAUGGACAGCCCCAGAAGGUUGUGAAUCCUCCACUCCCACAGAGAUCAGAUGGUAGGAAGGAGAUCCACUUACUCAUUGCACAAGGACUCCUGGCUGCCUAGCAGGUGCCAGGCACUGUUCUAGGCACCAGGGAUACACCACGAACAAAUAGGACUAAACAAAGCAAAACAGAAGAAACCCUGCACAGGAGCUUACCUGACA